rnacentral:rRNA from 1 species
UACGUAGGGUGCGAGCGUUAAUCGGAAUUACUGGGCGUAAAGCGUGCGUAGGCGGUUAUUUAAGUCGGAUGUGAAAUCCCCGGGCUCAACCUGGGAAUUGCAUUCGAUACUGGAUAGCUAGAGUUCGGCAGAGGGAAGCGGAAUUUCUGGUGUAGCGGUGAAAUGCGUAGAUAUCAGAAGGAACAUCAGUGGCGAAAGCGGCUUCCUGGACCAGAACUGACGAUCAGGCACGAAAGCGUGGGGAGCAAACAGG